UGGGGAAUAUUGGACAAUGGGCGCAAGCUUGAUCCAGCCAUGCCGCGUGGGUGAUGAAGGCCUUAGGGUUGUAAAGCCCUUUCGGCGGGGAAGAUAGUGACGGUACCCGCAGAAGAAGCCCCGGCUAACUUCGUGCCAGCAGCCGCGGCAAUACGAAGGGGGCUAGCGUUGCUCGGAAUUACUGGGCGUAAAGCGCACGUAGGCGGCUUGUUAAGUCGGGGGUGAAAUCCCGGAGCUCAACUCCGGAACUGCCUUCGAUACUGGCAAGCUCGAGUCCGGGAGAGGUGAGUGGAACUGCGAGUGUAGAGGUGAAAUUCGUAGAUAUUCGCAAGAACACCAGUGGCGAAGGCGGCUCACUGGCCCGGUACUGACGCUGAGGUGCGAAAGCGUGGGGAGCAAAC
rnacentral:rRNA from 1 species